UACGGAGGGGGCUAGCGUUGUUCGGAAUUACUGGGCGUAAAGCGCACGUAGGCGGCUUUGUAAGUUAGAGGUGAAAGCCCGGGGCUCAACUCCGGAAUUGCCUUUAAGACUGCAUCGCUAGAAUUGUGGAGAGGUAAGUGGAAUUCCGAGUGUAGAGGUGAAAUUCGUAGAUAUUCGGAAGAACACCAGUGGCGAAGGCGGCCCACUGGACCGGUAUUGACGCUGAGGUGCGAAAGCGUGGGGAGCAAACAGG
rnacentral:rRNA from 1 species